GAUGAACGCUGACAGAAUGCUUAACACAUGCAAGUCAAGUUGUGGCGGACGGGUGAGUAACGCGUAAAGAACUUGACUCCCAGAUAAGGACACCUUUUGGAAACGAAUGAUAAUACCUGAUACUGUGAGAGAGCUUUGCGUCCCAUUAGCUAGUUGGAGAGGUAACGGCUCACCAAGGCGAAGAUGGCUAGCCGGCCUGAGAAGGUGAUCGGCCACAAGGGGAUUGAGACACCGCCCUUACGCCUACUGGAGGCAGGAGGGGGGAAUAGAGGACAAAGGACCAAAGUCUGAUCCAGCAAUUCUGUGUGCACGAUGAAGUUUUCGGAAUGUAAAGUGGUGUCAGUUGGUAAGCAGUACCAACAGAAGAAGUGACGGCUAACUACGUGCCAGCAGCCGCGGUAAUAC
rnacentral:rRNA from 1 species